UACAGAGGGGGCAAGCGUUGUUCGGAAUUACUGGGCGUAAAGGGCGCGUAGGCGGCCUUCUAAGUCGAACGUGAAAUCCCUGGGCUCAACCCAGGAACUGCGUCCGAUACUGGGAGGCUUGAAUCCGGGAGAGGGAUGUGGAAUUCCAGGUGUAGCGGCGAAAUGCGUAGAUAUCUGGAGGAACACCGGUGGCGAAGGCGGCAUCCUGGACCGGUAUUGACGCUGAUGCGCGAAAGCCAGGGGAGCAAACGGG
rnacentral:rRNA from 1 species